GCGGCAGUAAGAAGGCUCCCCACUGAGCAGGGAGCCCAACAUGGGACAAGAUCCUGGAACUCUGAUCAAGACCUGAGCCAAAGGCAGACACUUUACUGAACUAUCCAAGUACCCCCAGAAACUUUUCUUGCUUCUUGAGGUGCUAGAGGUGCCUCAGAAGUGCCAAGGAGGAGAGUACCAUCCUGG
rnacentral:lncRNA from 1 species